ensembl:lncRNA novel transcript, antisense to DSCR3
ACUGAGAACACCAGCAUCUGCUGCCGCCCUGAAUCAGCGUUAGCAUGUGGAGGCAACCUCAGCCCCCAGUUUUUGAAGAAGGUGAUUCAGAUUCAGACACAGGAAUUAUGGUGACGGUAGAAAUGGACUGGAAGGUUCGUUCCCCUUGCCCACCAAGACUCCAGAGCAGGCAGAAGGUGUAGGCUGCAGGUUUCGGGCCUAAGAGAGGGCAUGGCUGGCGACACGGAGUAGACUCCUAGAUGACAUAACGGAGGCGAGUCUGCACCGGGGACUCGGCAUUAGGAGGAGGCAGAGGAAAAGCCCACCACCGUGGCCGAGGGAGAUCUAGCAAGCAGCUUGCAGGGGGUGAAGUGUGUGCAAAGCAGGCUGAGACCUGUCCAGUAUCGAAACACGCCGCGGUGGUCAAGCAGGCUUUACCAUGCUCAGGCGCAGGCUGGUACAAGAUUUGCAGCAACAAACACCAAGUGGAGAACUACAUGAACACUUUUGAUCGCAUCCCAGUUUUCAGACAAUCUCGGAUAAUUCUGAAAAUGCUUCUUAUGCAUUAUAUAAGAGUUUAGGUUAUGAUUUAACAGACAAGCUUUUUCAGGAGUAUUAGGUUAUUGGCAGAAGAAGAGACCUACUUAAAGUUUGGAUGACUGUAUUCCUAAAAGGUUCAUACCUCUCAAAAUUACCUUAAGAUCUCUUCUGGCUCAGAGAUUUAAAUUUUUAUACCCUAAGUCCUUACAACAAGCAUUCACUGUUACAACUGAUCAUUCAUUUACUAAGAAUCCAGCAGGUUAAAGUAGAAUAUUUAAGCUUAAAAAAAAAAACAAA